rnacentral:tRNA from 1 species
GGUGGCUCGGUGGUAGAGUUCUUGCCUUGCAUGCAUGAGGACCUGGGUUUGAUUCCCCAGCACCA